rnacentral:lncRNA from 1 species
CUCAUCGAAACAACAUCUGAUACAAAAAGUUAACAACCCUUUUAGAUAUUUGGAUGAUAUAUUGGCUCUCAAUAAUGACGACUUCAGUGUGUACACUAAAGAGAUUUAUCCAGCUGCACUGAAUUUAAACAAAGCUACAAGUUUGAGCUUUCUAAAAAGCUUUGGACUGCUUCGCCCUAUCAUAAUUUUAGGUAAUAUAUGUGCAUGUGGUUGUUGAAUUAGUAUUGGAAGUGUGGUAUUUUUAGAUAUUGAUUGAUAUAAAAUGGAUGUACUCUAAGCGUAUGCGUAUCCAUGCUUUAAAAAAAUAAAAUUGUUGAAAAUUAAAACAGUUAUAAAUAGACACGACUCUCGAAUUUUACAGAAGAGUGUCCACCAUGCACUUGCACUGCACUAUUAUUACAAAAGUAGAAAAGAAUGAUAUACAAAUGGAUGAAAAAUAUAUAUACAUGUAACUGUUAUAUGAACAUAAUAUAUAACAACAAACCAGUGUACGAUACUGAUUUGUAUCACUACAAUAUAUAGUCAUAACAGUCAGGUUGAAUUUACUGUCAUUUAUUCAUCAUCCAUGCACAAACUUGUCCCAGAAAAAAAAUUCUCUGUACAUAAUGUACUAACCUGUUUUUAUUCUGUGACAAGUGCUUUUGGCAAUCCACAAGAACUUGCGGUCAUCUGAUGUUCAGUACUGCAGUACUUUGAUUAAGUUUGUUGUCUAAUUUCAAAUUUUAGAUGUGGCAUUUAUUACCAAUGAAACAGCUAUACAUCAGAGUUCAAAGGAGGAAGAUAUGCAUAUAUUAUUCUUCAAAAUAUCUGUAAAUUUGCGUAAGAAACUUUUUUGUUCUUCCCUGGCCGGGAUUCGAACUCAGUCUUCUUAAAUUUGUGGCACCAAAUCGCCUUGCACUGUGACCAACGUGCUAGACCACUCGACCACCUAGGAUCUAUAAUAAUAAAGCUUUUGGUGGCCGGGGGUUAACUUUCCUCGUCAGUUUAAACUUUUAAUCUAGCGUCGUGACACAGUACAUGAUAUAUAUGGCAUGAAGAUGGAAUUGUUACAGAUCAGCUGAAUUAUCUAUUGUAAAGGAUCCUACAAAUUAAUGUAAGAUGCAGCCACAGAAAUAAUUAUGUUAUAAGUACGUCUGAACCAAUGACGACUCUACAACAAACUUUAUCCAUCGGAUCACAUUGAUGGUGAUACAAGGAUGAAAACACAUUCUGUAUAUAUAAUUUGUCUAAAUAACAGUCCAACAAUGUUGUUUAGAUCUGUAAAUUUGCGUAAGCAUUUUUUUUCUUCCCUUGCUGGGAUUCGAACUCAUGCUACUGAGAUAUCCUGGUACCAAAUCACCUAGCACUGUGACCGACACGCUAGACUACUCGACCACCUAAGCAAUUAUAGGUCAACAUACGGUCUUCAACAAUGAGAAAAACCCAUACUUUAUGGUCAGCUUUAAUUAUACAUGAUCAACAUAUGAAAAAGGUGAUUGUUUAUGAUUGCUGACGAGACAACAAUUUAGUAACAACAUCACAGCAAAAUUCACAUUUGAAAUAAUUUCACAUUUACCGUUCAAUGUUUCCGCAGGUGCUAUCCAGCGCUUGACUAUAAUUACUUAAUACCUUUUAAGAGUUUCGUGUGAUUAGCGUGGUCCAAUGAAAACCAUUUUCGCUCUUUGGCUUUGAUAAGGUAUGCAUAAGAGAGCUUGCUUUAUUUUUUGCUUGUUUCAAAAAGAUGGGGAGCGGUAUAACUCAAAAUUUGAAUUGCUUUGUUCUUAUUUUUGUUUUUGUUUUUGUUUUAGAUGAAACAGUUAUUUACUUUGUUGCCACUGAGGAAAUGUAUGCUAUACUUUCAAACAGAAUCACACAGCUGUAGACAAUGUUAACUGCUUAACACAUAUUUUGUUUUGACAAUGACCCGAAAACGCAUAAAGCCAAAAUAAGCCGUGA